GGCCCUGCGAAUUUCAACAGCAACUACAGAGUACGCAACACCUACUACAAACUUCGCAAGUUACAAUAAGAAGCCCUGAGGACCAGGCCUUUGAAGUAAUAGAAGUAACGGAAGUAUUUCUAUCUAUAAGUGUGUUGGAAAUAGAUAUCGGAAUAUUCAAAAACUGAAUACCGGUAGAUAAUUGAAUUGCUUAUUCUGACUCCGAUAAUUACAUGAGAACUUCGCAAGGUACCAACAAAGGAAGGACAGAAGUCGAAUCAUGAGAAAGAUAGAAAAAGAGAAGAAAGAAAAGGAAACAAAUAUGCUCAAUGACCUUGAAUUUAGAAAGCCCAAAAAGGGAAAGACAAAAUACUCAGUUUCUUUCUUUUUUAAACUGUGAGG
rnacentral:sRNA from 2 species